rnacentral:rRNA from 1 species
GACGAACGCUGGCGGCGUGCUUAACACAUGCAAGUCGAACGCUGAAGCUCAGCUUUUGUUGGGUGGAUGAGUGGCGAACGGGUGAGUAACACGUGAGUAACCUGCCUCCUUCUUUGGGAUAACGCCCGGAAACGGGUGCUAAUACUGGAUAUUCACUGGUCUUCGCAUGGGGGUUGGUGGAAAGGGUUUUUCUGGUGGGGGAUGGGCUCGCGGCCUAUCAGCUUGUUGGUGGGGUGAUGGCCUACCAAGGCCUUGACGGGUAGCCGGCCUGAGAGGGUGACCGGUCACAUUGGGACUGAGAUACGGCCCAGACUCCUACGGGAGGCAGCAGUGGGGAAUAUUGCACAAUGGGCGCAAGCCUGAUGCAGCGACGCCGCGUGAGGGAUGGAGGCCGUCGGGUUGUGAACCUCUUUCGCUCAUGGUCAAGCCGCAACAAUGGUUGUGGUGAGGGUAGUGGGUAAAGAAGCGCCGGCUAACUACGUG